UUGAAUAGCCCCCAAUAUUCUUCUCGGGAUUGCUGCCUCUGAACCGAGCCCCCCCCCCCCCCCCCCCCCCCUUCUCUCACCCCGGCUUCCCUUUAUAACCCCCCCACUCGUCUCCCUCUCUCUAUCCGCAUAUCUCUCGCUCUCUCUCUCCCUCAAACUUUCUCUGUUAGGGUUCCAUCUUCCAUGGCUCCUCCGCCGGGAAAGAUUUCAGAACCACUUCUUCUCUAAGACGGCCCUCUUUGUAUUCUUCCACAGGCUUUCUUGAACUGCAUCUUCCAGAUCCGGGCGGCCGCCGCCCGAUCCCGCUGCUGCGAUUCAAGAAAGCUGUGGAAUAAUACAGACCACGGGGGUCAAAAAGUUUCAAGAUCCAGUCCGCUUAAUGCUAUUUUUUCAAUGGCAUGCGCUCUUUGACCUCGGUGGAUUCAGGCCGGGCGAACCAGAUCUCUCUACCCUAGGGUUUCCUGCGUGUUUUCUCGGGAAAAUCAGAGAAAAUUCAGUUCCUGACAUUUCUGGAUCGGUUGGAGGGGAGAGCGAGAAAAGGGAAACGAAACCCAUAUCGCUGCGAUAUAUUUGUCCCCAAUUUGGGUUGGUUUCUGAGUUAAUUCGAUCGUUUUGUCGAUCAGUUUACAUUCAGUACUUUUCUUGGCAUGGCCGUGUGUCGAUGAUGAUAUUUAAUUAAUGGCCGUGAGUCUGUUUUGUGGCU